rnacentral:rRNA from 1 species
AGCAUAUCAAUAAGCGGAGGAAAAGAAACCAACAGGGAUUGCCCUAGUAACGGCGAGUGAAGCGGCAACAGCUCAAAUUUGAAAUCUGGCUCCGCUCUGGGGUCCGAGUUGUACUUUGCAGAGGGCGCUUUGGCGUCGGCAGCGGUCUAAGUUCCUUGGAACAGGACGUCACAGAGGGUGAGAAUCCCGUACGUGGCUGCUUGCCUUCGCCGUGUAAAGCCCCUUCGACGAGUCGUGUUGUUUGGGAAUGCAGCACUAAAUGGGAGGUAAAUUUCUUCUAAAGCUAAAUACCGGCCAGAGACCGAUAGCGCACAAGUAGAGUGAUCGAAAGAUGAAAAGCACUUUGGAAAGAGAGUCAAAAAGCACGUGAAAUUGUUGAAAGGGAAGCGCUUGCAGCCAGACUUGCUUGCGGUUGCUCAUCCGGGCCUGUGCCCGGUGUACUCUUCCGCAGGCAGGCCAGCAUCAGUUUGGGCGACUGGAGAAAGGCCUCUGUCACGUACCUUCCCUCGGGAAGGCCUUAUAGGGGAGGCGUAAUGCAGCCAGUCCAGACUGAGGUCCGCGCAUCUGCUAGGAUGCUGGCGUAAUGGCUGUAAGCGGCCCGUCUUGAAACACGGACCAAGGAGUCUAACAUCUAUGCGAGUGUUUGGGUGUCAAGCCCGAGCGCGUAAUGAAAGUGAACGGAGGUGAGAACCCUCGGGUGCAUCAUCGACCGAUCCUGAUGUCUUCGGAUGGAUUUGAGUAAGAGCAUAGCUGUUGGGACCCGAAAGAUGGUGAACUAUGCUUGAAUAGGGUGAAGCCAGAGGAAACUCUGGUGGAAGCUCGCAGCGGUUCUGACGUGCAAAUCGAUCGUCAAAUUUGGGCAUAGGGGCGAAAGACUAAUCGAACUAUCUAGUAGCUGGUUCCUGCCGAUU